rnacentral:lncRNA from 1 species
AGGGUAUAAGAUAAAAUAAUCCCAGAAAAAUAAUUAAAAUGGCCUUAUUACAACCCAAAACCAAAUAAUAAUAUUAAUAAGAUAAAACUUAUAAAGAAAUAAAUCGGCUACUUAUUGCAAUUAAAAGAAACAGAAACAGUAGUGUGGCCAUCUCCGAGUCCCUCGCAGCUCUAAACCAUCUAAGCUUAGGGAUUACCUGCACAGUUAGAAACGGGGUGAGUUUACAAAAACUCAGUGUGUAACGCCAAUAACAAACAAAUAGUAAAUAACACGAUAUUAGUACAAUCUGGGCCAAGGCCCUAUUUAGUCUUGACAUAUACUAGGCCGAAGCUUUUCCAUAAAUCAUAUCACUGGGCCGAAGCCUUUACAUAAAUCAUAUCACUGGGCCCAAGCCUUUUCAUAAAUCAUAUCACUGGGCCGAAGCCUUUACUGUAAACGGUAUGGCCCUUAGGCCCAUUUCAAUAUCACAUGUAAUGUCAAUGGAUGUAUGCAAGCCCAUUUCAAUAUCAUAUGUAAUGUCAAUGAAUGUAUGCAAGCCCAUUUCAAUAUCACAUGUAAUGUCAAUGAAUGUAUGCAAGCCCAUUUGGGGAGACUACUCGACCCACCAUCUGCUACUCUCCACCCGUACCAACCAAGCUCUCCAUGUGGGGAAUAACUCAACCCACCCAACCAAACUCUCCACUGGCAGCAUAGCUGCUUUAUCAUAUAACUGGAGGCCUAGCCUCUUUUAAUAACUGGGGCAAAGCCCUUUUCGGUAAACAGGGGCAGAGCCCUUUUAGCACAUCCUCCAUCAAUAUAACCCAUAUCCCAUGCAAUAUGUCAUGUAUGCAGAAUGUCAUGCCCAUAUUUGAAUCAAACAAUCACAGUCAAGUCAUUCAUAUCACCAACAUAUAUUCACAAUCAAAUCCGUCAACCACACAGUCCAAGUCAGUCACUUGCCCACAAGGGCAAAACAGUCAUUUUUCAUAUUAUAAGGGUAUUUUUGUAAUUUUACCAAAAAUCAGGGUUUUCCAUGUUCAUUACAAUUGUCAAUAUUUCCGAGUGUUUAAACAAUGAUCUUUAACCCACUUAUCAAAUUUGGGCUUUUGGGCCCAAAACCCCUAAUGGGCCCUACGAAUGCUGAUUUAGCCCACUAAGCCUGCUCAACCCAAAUUUUACAACAAUAGUAACCGUGUUAACAUGAAACUUUUCCAAAUUCCAUUUUCUAUCAAUUUUACCCAAAUGGGCCCAAAAGCCCAUUUGGCCCAAUUCCUGCCCAUUGAGGCCCAACUUACCAUUAUGCACAAAAUUGAGUUCUUACCCGUUCCAUCGAUCCAAACACCGAUCUUAUCGUAUUUAUCGCAUCUAUACCCACACGCAACAUUACAAGUUCCCGAAAUGCCAGAAUUUUUGCAUUUUGGCUUCUCAGCAAAUAGUAAUCUAAGCUACUACGAGGGUUAGUACACACCUGUUAUGGGUUGAAGUUGAAACGUUUCCAUAAUCAAUCACCUAUGAUAACCACCACCUGUCACUCAAACAUAACUAAUCCAAUAUCAAUAUAUGUAAAUCCUAAGCACAUUAGUCAUACGGAACAUAAAGGCAUAUUCGUCAUUUUACCAUAUAAGGGUAUUACGGUCACUUUACCCUACAGGGGUUUAUGGUCUUUUUACCUAUUAGGGGUAUUUUAGUCAUUUCAUCCUACAAGGGUGUUUUGGUAAAUCUACAAACCAAGGGUAUUUCAGUAAUUUUGUAAACCAAUGGUAUUUCUAUAAUUUUUAGAAAGUCAAGGGUAUUUUUGUAAUUUUGUAAAUCAGGGGUAUUUUGGUAAUUUUACAAAUUGAGGGUAUUUCGGUAAUUUCACUAACCAGUGGUAUUUCGGUAAUUUUACAAACUAGGGGUAUUUUGGUAAUUCUAUCCUAUAGGGGUAUUUUAGUAAUUUCACAAUCGAGGGUAAAAUGGUAAUUUUGUAAACUGAGGGUAAAAUGGUAAUUUUGUAAAUCGAGGGUAAAACGGUAAUUCUGUAAAUCAAGGGUAAAAUGGUAAUUCUAUAAAUCGAGGGUAAAAUAGUAAUUUUGUAAAUCGAGGGUGAAACGGUAAUUCUAUAAAUCGAGGGUAAAAUGGUAAUUCUACAAAUCGAGGGCAUUUCAGUAAUUUGGUAAACUAAAGUACUCUAAACAGGGAUAACAAUACGAAUGGGCCUAAAGCCUAUUCUCAGCCCAAAUGGGCCCACACACUCGUGUGGCCCUUUUAGCCCAAAUCUAGGCACAAAUAUGAGAUUCACCUAGCCUAGUCCAAUAUUUACUACACAAUCAAACAAUUUAUCCAAUUGGGCCCGUAGGCCCAUUAGGCCCACAUAACCCCUUUCGGCCCAUCGCAGCCCGAAGUAGCCAUCCUACAGCUAGAGUAGCGAGAAAAUACACACCUGAUAGGAGACUGGAGUUAAUCCACGCUCCGAGCACUCUUAGCUGACGCCCAACCCAAACGAGCACGCCAUACAGCGAAAAGGAUCAGCCAAGAAAAGGU